CAACCAAUAACACCGUCUUUCGAUUUGGAGCAACUAACAAGAACCAGUUAAUUUCCCAGGAAUCGUUCAGUUUCCCACCUAUCUUCACCAUUGGGGCACCAAGACUGUUGAACUCCAUUCAAUCCAGUGGCUUCUCCCAUUGAAAAAUAAAAACUGCUAGAUGGAAACUCAGAGCUAUAAGUGAAUUUAAAUUGUGAACAAAACACAUUUCGACUUUAUCGGGUAGCUCCUAGAUAGGAACAGGACGUGCUUGAUAUCGAAGUGAUUUGAUGCAUCAUUACAGUCAACAUUUUAGAUUUUAUCUGUCUAAAAGUCUUCUGUCUCCGCUCACUGUAGAAAUCAUGUCUGAAAUAAACUUGGUUGCAACUCA